UACGAAGGUGGCAAGCGUUGUUCGGAUUUACUGGGCGUACAGGGAGCGUAGGCGGUUGGAUAAGCCCUCCGUGAAAUCUCCAGGCUUAAACCUGGAAAGUGCAGAGGGGACUGUUCAGCUAGAGGAUGGGAGAGGAGCGCGGAAUUCCCGGUGUAGAGGUGAAAUUCGUAGAUAUCGGGAGGAACACCGGUGGCGAAGGCGGCGACCUGGGUAGAUACUGACGCUGAGGUGCGAAAGCGUGGGGAGCAAACAGG
rnacentral:rRNA from 1 species